rnacentral:rRNA from 1 species
AGAUCUGGAGGAAUACCGAUGGCGAAGGCAGCUUCCUGGCAUAAUAUUGACACUGAGAUUCGAAAGCGUGGGUAGCAAACAGGAUUAGAUACCCUGGUAGUCCACGCCGUAAACGAUGUCUACUAGCCGUUGGGGUCCUUGAGACUUUAGUGGCGCAGUUAACGCGAUAAGUAGACCGCCUGGGGAGUACGGCCGCAAGGUUAAAACUCAAAUGAAUUGACGGGGGCCCGCACAAGCGGUGGAGCAUGUGGUUUAAUUCGAUGCAACGCGAAGAACCUUACCUGGUCUUGACAUAGUGAGAAUCCUGCAGAGAUGCGGGAGUGCCUUCGGGAAUUCACAUACAGGUGCUGCAUGGCUGUCGUCAGCUCGUGUCGUGAGAUGUUGGGUUAAGUCCCGCAACGAGCGCAACCCUUUUCCUUAUUUGCCAGCGGGUUAAGCCGGGAACUUUAAGGAUACUGCCAGUGACAAACUGGAGGAAGGCGGGGACGACGUCAAGUCAUCAUGGCCCUUACGACCAGGGCUACACACGUGCUACAAUGGUAGGUACAGAGGGUUGCUACACAGCGAUGUGAUGCUAAUCUCAAAAAGCCUAUCGUAGUCCGGAUUGGAG